AACCAAAGUGUCUUGGGAUCUGAUU
rnacentral:piRNA from 1 species